GUCGCAUCAUUCUUUACACUACUGAAAGCCAAGCAUCACCACGAGUGGACUCCACAUUAUGAGCAUCACGGUCAUAAAAGAAGCCUAAGUGAUUUAGAGCACAUCCCCACCUACGUGGAACACCCAACAUCUCAUGACGACUGGAGCUCAUACACACCUCAAUGGACACCAUCGGAGCCCCAUAAGACCAUAGCUUCAUACAAACACGCCGCCGAUCCAUAUACUGAGUACGCAGAGAGCAAAAAGGUCGAAAAAGUCUAUGGAAAGAAUUGAUUGUCUAUGAAAUCUGGGAAACGAAAGCUAAAACGCUAAAACUCACUGACUGUACACUGGAUUGGCUGCUGUCAUAAUAUUUUUGUGCCUAUUUGAGUUCCGCCAUUUUGGCACUGUAGGCCAUACUGUAGGCAGAUACUAUUGUCCAUAGAACUAAAAUUUGUAAUUUUCUUUCUCGCUUACUCUUGUCAUCAUUAUCAUCAUCAACAGCCCUUUACAGUCCACUGCUGGACUAUGAGCCUCCUCCACUAUAGUGGAGGGUUUUGCCAUAAUCCCCACGCUUGGCAGGCCGGUUGGAGAUCGCAGUUUAAAAGAUUGAUGUUUUUCAGAGAGCGCUGCUGCCCUUUCUCUGUUUCAUGUGUAGUCCCUAAGUCGCCUCUUACGAAACACCCGUGGGAAGAGUGGCUUACUCUUUUGGUUACUCCAUACAAUGUCUACGUCAAAAUUAGUUCUAAGGACAAUCGUAGUAGCGCUUCAAAUUGGCACACAAAGCUGUCAUUUGUAUGAGACAGCCUAUCCAAUGUUUAUUAGAGGUCAGUCCUAAAACUACUUAGAAAUAGAUACAAACAGAUCGAGUUAACUGCGCACCUCGCGAAAUGUGACGUCACGACUACCAGGUGCGCAGUAACUCGAUCGGGUUGUAAAAUGUAAUUUUGGUAUAAUUUCCAUAAUGGAUUGGAUUUGGAACUUUGAAUAAGUUUCAAAAUCAAUUCAGAAACUUCAUAUUUUUGGAUAGAUACCUCGACAAGUUAAAGUUGCAAAAUUAAGAGAUCUCAUAUCAUUAAUGCAGUCUUUUGUUGACCAGAUUUUAGUUAAGUAAUUUAUUUUAUUUAGUUAUAAGGAAAUAAUUUAUUUUAUUGUAAGCACUCAUAUUUUUCCCAUAAGUACAAACAUAAGUGUGUUUUACAUACUUUAAGUCAUUAAUUUAUUUGUUAUAGUCUGGUCUGCGAGCACGUAGAAUUUUGUCCAAUGACCCCUAGCUACCCAUCCUUAUCGCUCGCGCGUAAUUAUGUUGCUGUCGCGCUCGCACACUCACUGCGGGCGCCCGUCGCACGGUCGCGACAGCAAUAUAAUUACGCGCGAGCGAUAAGUAUGGGUAGCUUGGGGUCAUUGGACAAAAUUCUACGUGCUCACAGACCGGGCUUUAGGCGGUUCCCACCAAGGCGGAGCGGAGAAAUGUUAUUCAAAAAAUUCUCCGCUCUGCUCCGCUUUGGUGGAAACCGGGCCUUUAUGGUUUUGUUUCAUGGCAUUUAUUAGAUGUAAGAUGUAUUUAUUUAACUUUGUAAUUUUUGCCGAAACAUGUGACUUCAAAAAAGGAGGUUCAUCUCACAAUUAUACAUACAGUUUUUUUCUCGACAGUGGGUAGUACAAGUAUUUUUGUUUUCUUUUUAUUUUCAUGUGUACAAAUGUCAGAUAAUGCUUUAGUUCUUAGUUUAUGAAAUGUUUUUUCAAUAUUCUUGGCAAAAAUGAAGGUAAACAGUGUUUAUUUUCUGUGUUACAUGUUCAAUAUACCACCGGUUAAGUUUUACUAAUUUCUAUGCCAUAAUGGCAUAUUAUUUUGACUAUAGAUCGUUUCAUCCACUCGGACGCGCCCCAGCAAUGUUUGGUCCCGGUCGCGCGGGGUGCGGGGAGUGUGGUCCGAGCAAUCCGUAAGGCAUUACUGUAGUGUGCGUGUGCACUCAUGGAUCAUUUAGCGUGUACCGAUAACACUCAAACACUAGCGGAAGAAUGGGGGGGCGCGUCUUCGUGGAUAAAACGAUCUAUAUACUCAACAUAGGAUUCAAUAUUGGACACCAAAUAAAAUACUGUCUUGUAAAAAAUGCAUUUAAUACAUUUAAAAGUGUGUAAUUUAUUACAAUUUUAAUAAAACAAUUUUAAAACAUUGGCGGAGUUUCAUUUAUAUCUUAAAAAAUGUAUACAAAAUACUAUAUUGAUUGUCCUUACAUAUACAAUUUUAGUUUAUUUUUGAGUAUAUUAAUAAUAUUUAAUAAUAAUGACAACUAACGGCACGGUAUCUGUUAAGAUUCACAACUCCUAAAAUACAAAAAAAAAUUAAAGCCCACAUCUUGUGACGUCAUUGUAGUACUUAUCACAAAAAAAAGGAAUGGUAACUUAAAAAAUAUGAGAAUAAUAAAAAAAAUACCACUAAAUGUAGUCGACAUGACAUUUCAAAAAUAAUUUUAGUAAAAUAUUCUGUCUCUGUCUGAAAUACUGAUGUUUUUUUUAUUUUAUACAAAUGUAUAAUAAAAAUUUUCAAAAGGGACAUCACAGAUACAUUACAAAAUCCUUUGCAAAAUAUUUUAAUAAUAAUACAGUAAAAAAUCUUAAUAAAUAUAAGUACAAUAUAGGCAGCACCGUUACAUUCUUAUCGUUAUAUUUUUUGUCUAAAAAUUCGUGUAUAAAAAUA